GACGAACGCUGGCGGCGUGCUUAACACAUGCAAGUCGAACGGAAAGGCCCUGCUUUUGUGGGGUGCUCGAGUGGCGAACGGGUGAGUAACACGUGAGUAACCUGCCCUUGACUUUGGGAUAACUUCAGGAAACUGGGGCUAAUACCGGAUAGGAGCUCCUGCUGCAUGGUGGGGGUUGGAAAGUUUCGGCGGUUGGGGAUGGACUCGCGGCUUAUCAGCUUGUUGGUGGGGUAGUGGCUUACCAAGGCUUUGACGGGUAGCCGGCCUGAGAGGGUGACCGGCAACAUUGGGACUGGGGUCCGGCCCAGACCCCUACGGGGGGAAGGGGUGGGGAAUUUUGCACAAUGGGGGGAGGCCGGAUGCAGCAACGCCGCGGGGGGGAGGACGGCCUUGGGGUUGUAAACCGCUUUCGCCUGUGACGAGGCGUGGGUGACGGUAAUGGGAAAAGAAGCACCGGCUAACUACGU
rnacentral:rRNA from 1 species